ensembl:miRNA
GAAACCUUGCGCUCUUAAAGAGGUAAAAGGCACAGGCUUCACUGACAUUGACGCACUCUGCGCCUCUGAUCUCUCAAGAGAACAGGUUUU